UACGUAGGGGGGCAAGCGUUGUCCGGAUUUAUUGGGCGUAAAGAGCGUGUAGGCGGCCAGAUAAGUCCGCUGUGAAAACUCGAAGCUCAACUUCGAGCUGUCGGUGGAAACUAUCUGGCUAGAGUCCGGAAGAGGAGAGUGGAAUUCCAGGUGUAGCGGUGAAAUGCGUAGAUAUCUGGAGGAACACCGGUGGCGAAAGCGGCAUCCUGGACCGAGAUUGACGCUGAUGCGGCGAAAGCCAGGGGAGCAAACGGGG
rnacentral:rRNA from 1 species